rnacentral:rRNA from 1 species
UACAGAGGGUGCGAGCGUUAAUCGGAAUUACUGGGCGUAAAGCGUGCGUAGACGGCUAUCUAAGUCGGGUGUGAAAGCCCCGGGCUCAACCUGGGAAUUGCAUUCGAGACUGAAUAGCUAGGGUACGGUAGAGGGAAGUGGAAUUUCCGGUGUAGCGGUGAAAUGCGCAGAUAUCGGGAGGAACACCAGUAGCGAAGGCGACACUCUGGGCCGGUACUGACGCUGAGGAGCGAAAGCGUGGGGAGCAAACAGGG